AUUAAUUUAGCAAAAAAUUGCAAGUGAUUUAGAAUCAAAAGAUACUUUAGAAUAAAAUAAAGUAAUUAAUU
rnacentral:tRNA from 1 species